rnacentral:rRNA from 1 species
UACGUAGGCAGCAAGCGUUGUUCGGAGUUACUGGGCGUAAAGGGUGCGUAGGCGGCUUUUUAAGUCUGGUGUGAAAUCUCCCGGCUCAACUGGGAGGGUGCGCCGGAUACUGAGGGGCUAGAGUGUGGGAGAGGAAAGUGGAAUUCCUGGUGUAGCGGUGAAAUGCGUAGAUAUCAGGAGGAACACCGGUGGCGAAGGCGGGUCUCUGGGCCGAUACUGACGCUGAGGAGCGAAAGCGUGGGGAGCGAACAGG